rnacentral:rRNA from 1 species
UUCAGGAACGCGAAGAACCUUACCUACCCUUGACAUACAGCGAACUUGGCAGAGAUGCCUUGGUGCCUUCGGGAACGCUGAUACAGGUGGUGCAUGGUUGUCGUCAGCUCGUGUCGUGAGAUGUUGGGUUAAGUCCCGCAACGAGCGCAACCCUUGCCUUUAGUUGCCAGCAUUAAGUUGGGCACUCUAGAGGGACUGCCGAGGAUAACUCGGAGGAAGGUGGGGAUGACGUCAAAUCAUCAUGCCCCUUAUGCUUAGGGCUACACACGUGCUACAAUGGGUGGUACAGAGGGUUGCCAAGCCGCGAGGUGGAGCUAAUCCCUUAAAGCCAUUCUCAGUUCGGAUUGUAGGCUGAAACUCGCCUACAUGAAGCUGGAGUUACUAGUAAUCGCAGAUCAGAAUGCUGCGGUGAAUGCGUUCCCGGGCCUUGUACACACC